GCAUUAAUGGGUAGUGGUAACCUGGGUCGUUGCCAUUUCUGACCACAUGGAUUAACUUCGACCCGCGGGGGUUCGAUUCCCCCUUAAUGCA
rnacentral:tRNA from 1 species